GAGAAAAUCAGUCGAAAAAACUCAUUUGUUUCUAUUCGCUGAUCUCAGAAGGGGUAUCCCCUACAUUCGCCAUUCUUGAGUUCUCUCGAUGGUGUCUUCUCUACCCUGCCGUCUGCAAUUUGCUCCACCGUGACAAUAGCUUUUGUGCUUUCUUCCACCCCGUAGAACGCGCUCAAUUUAGAUUUUCUAGGUCUUGCGAUUUUGUGAUAAUCUUCCAUGGUAAUUAACUUUUGUUUGUUUUGGUUGGUCUGAAUUUCAAAUUUUUUGUUUUGGCUUGCGGCACAUGAUAUGAGAUUCAAAUGACAUGAUUUGUGUGUGUUAAUACUUUUAUGCGGGUAUUUCUUAUGUUUUGGGUGAGCCUCUCAACCUCACAGUUUUAGCCUUAUUCGAAUUGUGUCCAUGGAUCAGAUUAAUAUGCACUAUUAAUUUUUUUUUAAAGUUUUUUAUCCCUCCUUAUCCCUUCUCUCUUCUUCCCCUUGCUAUUCUCCAAUGACUCAGGAGAGUCCUAACAACAACAUUCGAGCUUUGCAUGCUCGAAUCUACCCCUCGAUCGAAGAGUUCAAUAAGCCCAACUUGCAGGUGGGUUUUUCCGACGAAGAUGCGAGUUUUUUUUCCGGCCAAUUUCAAGCAUUUCCAACCUUUUUUGGGUCUGGCGAAGAUGCUUAUUUUGCAGAUGAUGAAUCUAGAACACAUGAAAAAUCUAUCAUACCACAGUGCAUAUAGCAAAGUCGUCUUUUCACUAUGCAGCCACUAGCAACUGGUUACAGAGCUUCCUAACCUUGAGCCUUUACAUGAAUUUAGUUAUGAACAUUCUGUCAACCUGGAGGAUCUUAUAAAACUCAGUGAUGUGAUGGUUGAGCACUCUCUUGGUUCCAAUGGAGGUUAGUGUUCUUAUUGAAUCUAUAAAAGUUCAAUACUUGGGUAAAGUAAAGAGUGGAAAUUGUUUGGUUUGGGAAUGAAGAAGGAAAACGAUGGAAAGAUAA